GUUUGAUCCUGGCUCAGGACGAACGCUGGCGGCGUGCUUAACACAUGCAAGUCGAGCGGAAAGGCCCUUCGGGGUACUCGAGCGGCGAACGGGUGAGUAACACGUGAGUAAUCUGCCCCUCACUCAGGGAUAACCGCGGGAAGCUGCGGCUAAUACUUGAUAUGACCACGUCUCGCAUGAGGUGUGGUGGAAAGCGUUCAGUGGUGAGGGAUGUGCUCGCGGCCUAUCAGCUUGUUGGUGAGGUAGUGGCUCACCAAGGCUUCGACGGGUAGCCGGCCUGAGAGGGUGACCGGCCACACUGGGACUGAGACACGGCCCAGACUCCUACGGGAGGCAGCAGUGGGGAAUAUUGGACAAUGGGCGAAAGCCUGAUCCAGCAACGCCGCGUGAGGGAUGACGGCCUUCGGGUUGUAAACCUCUUUCACCUCUGACGAAGCGCAAGUGACGGUAAGGGGAGAAGAAGGACCGGCCAACUACGUGCCAGCAGCCGCGGUAAUACGUAGGGUCCGAGCGUUGUCCGGAAUUAUUGGGCGUAAAGGGCUCGUAGGCGGUUUGUCGCGUCGGGAGUGAAAACCAGGUGCUUAACACCUGGCUUGCUUCCGAUACGGGCAGACUAGAGGUAUGCAGGGGAGAAUGGAAUUCCUGGUGUAGCGGUGAAAUGCGCAGAUAUCAGGAGGAACACCGGUGGCGAAGGCGGUUCUCUGGGCAUUACCUGACGCUGAGGAGCGAAAGUGUGGGGAGCGAACAGGAUUAGAUACCCUGGUAGUCCACACCGUAAACGUUGGGCGCUAGGUGUGGGAUCCAUUCCACGGGUUCCGUG
rnacentral:rRNA from 1 species